GGGUGAGUAACACGUAUGCAACCUGCCCCUGUCAGGGGGACAACCCGCCGAAAGGCGGGCUAAACCCGCGUACAUGCCACCGGGGCAUCCCGGAGGCAGGAAAGGCUUCGGCCGGACGGGGAUGGGCAUGCGGCGCAUUAGGCAGUAGGCGGGGUAACGGCCCACCUAACCGACGAUGCGUAGGGGUUCUGAGAGGAAGGUCCCCCACACUGGUACUGAGACACGGACCAGACUCCUACGGGAGGCAGCAGUGAGGAAUAUUGGUCAAUGGUCGGGAGACUGAACCAGCCAAGCCGCGUGAGGGAGGAAGGUACAGAGUAUCGUAAACCUCUUUUGUCAGGGAACAAAGACUGGGACGCGUCCCCGGAUGAGUGUACCUGAAGAAAAAGCAUCGGCUAACUCCGUGCCAGCAGCCGCGGUAAUACGGAGGAUGCGAGCGUUAUCCGGAUUUAUUGGGUUUAAAGGGUGCGCAGGCGGUCUGUUAAGUCAGCGGUCAAAGCCCGGGGCUCAACCCCGGCCCGCCGUUGAAACUGGCAGUCUCGAGUUGGAGAGAAGUAUGCGGAAUGCGCGGUGUAGCGGUGAAAUGCAUAGAUAUCGCGCAGAACUCCGAUUGCGAAGGCAGCAUGCCGGCUCCACACUGACGCUGAGGCACGAAAGCGUGGGUAUCGAACAGGAUUAGAUACCCUGGUAGUCCACGCAGUAAACGAUGAUAGCUCGUUGUC
rnacentral:rRNA from 1 species